UACGAGGGGUGCAAGCGUUGCUCGGAAUUAUUGGGCGUAAAGGGGUAGGUAGGUGGUCUCAUUUGUCUGGGGUGAAAGCCUUGAGCUUAACUCAAGAAGUGCCCCAGAAACGGUGAGACUGGAGUCUUGGAGAGGGUCGUGGAAUUCCUGGUGUAGCGGUGAAAUGCGCAGAUAUCAGGAGGAACACCUGUGGUGUAGACGGCUUUCUGGGACCAUAACUGACGCUGAGACACGAAAAGCGUGGGUAGCAAACAGG
rnacentral:rRNA from 1 species